rnacentral:rRNA from 1 species
UACGUAGGAGGCGAGCGUUGUCCGGAAUCACUGGGCGUAAAGGGCGCGUAGGUGGUGGCUUAAGCGUGCGGUGAAAGCUCGGAGCUCAACUCCGAGUCGGCCGUGCGAACUGGGCUCACUGGAGCAUAGUAGAGGCAGGUGGAAUUCCGGGUGUAGCGGUGGAAUGCGUAGAGAUCCGGAAGAACACCGGUGGCGAAGGCGGCCUGCUGGGCUAUGGCUGACACUGAGGCGCGACAGCGUGGGGAGCAACAGG